UACGUAGGGGGCUAGCGUUGUCCGGAAUCAUUGGGCGUAAAGCGCGUGUAGGCGGCCCGGUAAGUCCGCUGUGAAAGUCGGGGGCUCAACCCUCGAAUGCCGGUGGAUACUGUCGGGCUCGAGUGCGGAAGAGGCGAGUGGAAUUCCUGGUGUAGCGGUGGAAUGCGUAGAUAUCGGGAGGAACACCAGUGGCGAAGGCGGUUGCCUGGGGCUUUGCUGACGCUGAUGCGCGAAAGCGUGGGGAGCGAUCCGG
rnacentral:rRNA from 1 species